AUUGAACGCUGGAGGCAGGCCUAAAACAUGCAAGUCGAACGAGUGGCGGACGGGUGAGUAAUGUAUGGGAAACUGCCUGAUGGAGGGGGAUAACUACUGGAAACGGUAGCUAAUAACGAAUACCAUCGGAUGUGCGCAGAUGGGAUUAGCUAGUAGGUGGGGUCAAGGCUCACCUAGGCGACGAUCCCUAGCGGGUCUGAGCGGAUGACCAGCCACACUGGAACUGUGACACGGUCCCGACUCCUACGGGAGGCAGCAGUGGGGAAUAUUGCACAAUGGGCGCAAGCCUUAUGCAGCCAUGCCGCGUGUAUGAAGAAGGCCUUCGGGUUGUAAAGUACUUUCAGCGGGGAGGCGUUACCCGCAGAAGAAGCACCGGCUAACUCCGUGCCAGCAGCCGCGGUAAUUC
rnacentral:rRNA from 1 species